rnacentral:rRNA from 1 species
GACAGAGGGUGCAAACGUUGCUCGGAAUCACUGGGCGUAAAGGGCGCGUAGGCGGGAAUGUAAGUCGGGCGUGAAAUCCCCAGGCUCAACCUGGGAACUGCACUCGAAACUGCGUUUCUUGAGUAUCGGAGAGGAAAGCGGAAUUCCUGGUGUAGAGGUGAAAUUCGUAGAUAUCAGGAGGAACACCAGUGGCGAAGGCGGCUUUCUGGACGGUAACUGACGCUGAGGCGCGAAGGCCAGGGGAGCAAACGGG